AAUAAGGAGAUGCCCCCGUCAAUGGUGAAUCAUCGACGCUAAUACCCAAGAGAGAACCCUAGCCAAUAGUGAUCCAACUCUCUCCUGCUCUGUUUUAUUCUCACAACGAGUAAGAGUAAACCCUAGUGCCUUCAAUGGUUUCUGUAAAUCUCAUAAUUGGAAGCAACAAACUAUAGCCUCUUCAACGGUGAGACGUAACUCUCAUUCUAUGGCAUAAAUGGACUCUAACCACACGGGGUAUUUUCCAACGAGGAGAAGUUCAAGAUUUCUCUACUUGUUUCCAAGUUUGCCACUCUUUGGGUGGAGGAACUGGCUUUGGAAGGGGUACCUUGUUGAUCUCUAAGAUCAGGGAGGAGUACUUACCUUCCCUUUGUUCCCAUCACCAAAGGUCUGAGACACUAUUGUCGAGCCAUACAAUGCCACUCUCUCUGUGCACCAGCUUGUGGAGAAUGCGGAUGAGUGCAUGGUCUUUGACAAUGAAGCUCUCUAUGAUAUCUGUUUCGGGACCCUCAAUCUCACCACUCCUAGCUGUAUGUUACGCUUUUUUUUGGAAGGAAACUAUUGCAUCUAUUGAUUGAGAAGAAUGCGGGAUACACAUGCCAUUGAGUUUGAGAGGAGUCGUGGGAGGUUCUUGAUGAGAUUCAAGCAGCCUAACAAUAUCUAUGCCUGCUAUAAAUGGGAUUCUUUUUUAAGUUAGAUCUUCUGAGUAUACUGGAGCGAGUCUAUAGAUCCCAAAGUUUUGUUGUCUUUUUUCUAUUAAUUAAGGGGAUUUUUUUUUAAGAAAAAUUACAUAUAUAUCCAUUAUAUUUUACGUUAUUAUGGAUGUACCGAAUAGUUUCCGUUAUUACAUGUCUGUCUGUUUUUUACCUUUUAUAAUGUAAAUUUAAAAAAAAGAUGAUUUUACCCUUUUUCGGGUGUUGAACAACGAAAUUGAAAGGUUUUUCGAAGGUUCAACAUUCGAAUUCAAUGUAUUUUCGGUCACUUUUUCGUAUGUUGGCAAUGCAAGCUUUAUGAAAUGUGACUGAUAUUGUGAUUGAAAAUACAUUGAAUUCAAAUGUUAAACACGCGAAAAAGGGUAAAUUCGUCUUUUUAAUAAAUACCGUUAUAAAAGGUAAAAACAAACAGACAUGUAAUAGCGUAAACUAUUUGGUAUAUCUAUAAUAACACAAAGUAUAAUCGAUAUGUAUGUAAUUUUCCCUUUUUUUUAAGUGUAUUUAAGAAGUAUAGACUGUAUGUCCUAAAAUUUUGUGUUUAUGGUACAUCAUCGGUUUGAGACAUGUCCGUUAUGUUAUGAGUUUGGGAUAUCCUUUUGGCAUGAGAUA